CCAACAAACCAACUGAUUGGAAGGACUUCCAAGAAAAUCUUCUAAGGCAUAGCACAGACGACCGUACCGCAAACCGACUCAGGUGGGUGAGGCGAAUAGCCUAAGGUGCUUGAGAGAACUGAGGUGAAGGAACUCGGCAAAUUAGCUCCGUAACUUCGGGAGAAGGAGUGCCAGAAUGUGUGUAGGAGUACAUCCGAAGCAUUUUCUGGUCGCAGAGAAAUGGCAGGAGCGACUGUUUACCAAAAACACAGGUCUGUGCCAACCCGUAAGGGGCAGUAUACAGACUGACACGUGCCCGGUGCCGGAAGGUUAACAGGAGAUGUCAGCGCAAGCGAAGCAUUGAAUCGAAGCCCCGGUAAACGGCGGCCGUAACAAUAACGGUCCUAAGGUAGUGAAAUUCCUUGUCGGGUAAGUUCCGACCUGCACGAAUCGUGUAACGACUUCUGCGCUGUCUCAACCUCGGUCUCAGCGAAAUUGUAGUGCCGGUGAAGAUGCCGGCUACCCGCAUCUGGACAGAAAGACCCUAUGAACCUUUACUGCAACUUGACAUUGGAUUCUGGCUGUAUUUGUGUAGGAUAGGUGGGAGGCUUUGAAGUAGUGCCACCAGGUAUUAUGGAGCCAACGUUGAAAUACCACCCUGGUGCUGACGGAAUUCUAACCUGGUCCAUCAUCUGGAUCAGAGACAUUGUCUGGUGGGCAGUUUGACUGGGGCGGUCGCCUCCAAAAAGGUAACGGAGGCAUCCAAAGGUCCCCUCAGCGUGGUCGGUAAUCACGCGCAGAGUGCAAAGGCAUAAGGGGGCUUAACUGCGAGACCGACAGGUCGAGCAGGUACGAAAGUAGGGCUUAGUGAUCCCGCGGUUUAGCGUGGAAUUGCCGUUGCUCAAUGGAUAAAAGGUACCCUAGGGAUAACAGGCUGAUCUCCCCCAAGCGUCCAUAGCGACGGGGAGGUUUGGCACCUCGAUGUCGGCUCAUCGCAUCCUGGGGCUGGAGAAGGUCCCAAGGGUUUGGCUGUUCGCCAAUUAAAGCGGUACGUGAGCUGGGUUCAGAACGUCGUGAGACAGUUCGGUCCCUAUCCGAUGUGGGCGUAGGAAGCUUGAUGGAACUUGUCCCUAGUACGAGAGGACCGGGAUGAACGCACCUCUGGUGUACCAGUUGUUCCGCCAGGAGCAUCGCUGGGUAGCUAUGUGCGGAAGAGAGAAACGCUGAAAGCAUCUAAGCGUGAAGCUCCUCCAAAGGUGAGGCUUCCCUGGGGGCAACCCCCUGAAGGGCCGUCCGAGACUAGGACGUUGAUAGGUCAUAGAUGUAAGCGCCGCAAGGUGUUAAGUCGAGUGAUACUAAUCGCCCGUGUGGCCUU
rnacentral:rRNA from 1 species